AUCACAGCCCUGGAGCCUGAUCCCCUCUCCUUACCCACAAAACUACUACAGCACAAGCAAAGAGUGUGAGAGCUUCCUCACUGCCCCUCAUCCUUGUGCCUCAUUCACGACCUAGAGGGGUCACCUCUAGGCAUGAGUGGGUAACUCAGUCUCUGUGCUUAUUUAAUCUUUGGCCAAU
ensembl:misc_RNA